UUUUGUGACACAUGAAUCCAAGUU
rnacentral:miRNA from 1 species